AAGUUAUCACGAAAGGCGGAGGGAAAGACCCAAUGAAACCUUAGCAACCCUUUAUCAUAAAGAAGGUGCUACAUUCUACUUAAUACAAAUUCAUUGUAUUUAAGAUAGAUAACAC
rnacentral:ncRNA from 1 species